AUUGAACGCUGGCGGCAUGCCUUACACAUGCAAGUCGAACGGCAGCACGGGGCAACCUGGUGGCGAGUGGCGAACGGGUGAGUAAUGCAUCGGAACGUACCUUUCAGUGGGGGAUAACGUAGCGAAAGUUACGCUAAUACCGCAUAUUCUGUGAGCAGGAAAGCAGGGGAUCGCAAGACCUUGCGCUGAUUGAGCGGCCGAUGUCAGAUUAGCUAGUUGGUGAGGUAAAGGCUCACCAAGGCGACGAUCUGUAGCGGGUCUGAGAGGAUGAUCCGCCACACUGGACGUGAGACCCGGUCCAGACUCCGACGGGAGGCAGCAGUGGGGAAUUUUGGACAAUGGGGGCAACCCUGAUCCAGCCAUGCCGCGUGAGUGAAGAAGGCCUUCGGGUUGUAAAGCUCUUUCGGCCGGGAAGAAAUCGCACGGGCUAAUACCCUGUGUGGAUGACGGUACCGGAAUAAGAAGCACCGGCUAACUACGUGCCAGCAGCCGCCGUAA
rnacentral:rRNA from 1 species